CCUCCUUAAAAUAAAAUCGUUUUUUUGUAGGCGUUCACACGAAUUACUUAUUUAUCUUUAUCUUUUAUAAGAUAAAAGAUGAGUUUUUUAACAUUUUUAUAAGUUCAAUCAAGUCAUAUCAAAAGCAUUUAUGUUUUAGAUAUGCAAAUUAAGUAUUCUUCAAUAUUUUAAUUUUAAUUAAUUUAUUGUUGAAUAACUGCAAAGUAAUUUGGCGUUUUUUGUGUUUUUUAAACACAAAUAAUGUGUUUUUUAAACACAUAUAGUAGAUAGAAAUUCUUGAAAAUAUCAUUAAGUUAAUUGAUGUAAUAUGGUCAAGUAAUAAAGUGCAAACGGUGGAUGC
rnacentral:misc_RNA from 1 species